UACAGAGGUCUCAAGCGUUGUUCGGAAUCACUGGGCUUAAAGGGCGCGUAGGCGGGCUGCCGCGUCCGGGGUGAAAUCCCAUGGCUCAACCGUGGAACGGCCUCGGAUACGGGCGGCCUCGAGGGGGGUAGGGGCAUCUGGAACUGUGAGUGGAGCGGUGAAAUGCGUUGAUAUUCACAGGAACUCCGGUGGCGAAGGCGAGGUGCUGGACCCCUUCUGACGCUGAGGCGCGAAAGCCAGGGGAGCGAACGGG
rnacentral:rRNA from 1 species